UACGGAGGGUGCGAGCGUUGUUCGGAAUCACUGGGCGUAAAGGGCGUGUAGGCGGUCCGCUAAGUCUGAUGUGAAAGCCCGGGGCUCACCCCCGGAAGUGCAUUGGAAACUGGCGGACUCGAGUCCCGGAGAGGAGAGUGGAAUUCCUGGUGUAGCGGUGAAAUGCGCAGAUAUCAGGAGGAACACCGAUGGCGAAGGCAGCUCGCUGGGACGGUACUGACGCUGAGGCGCGAAAGCGUGGGGAGCAAACAGG
rnacentral:rRNA from 1 species